rnacentral:lncRNA from 1 species
GGCAUCCGAACGUCAGAAGCCGCCAUCCUCCCCUAUGUGCCCUACCCAACCUGCCCAGCCACAGGCUCCCCUCCCGCCACCCACCUGCCCAUCCUGCAGCCCAGACGGACGUCACAGCUGGGGGCGCUCAUGACCGACCCCACAACCGGCAUCGAGGUGCCUGUGCUGGCUGUGACUCUUCAUCCUCAAACCAGGCAGUGGCUCACUCUUGGGGGCACAUACUGCAAUCCUCUCACCAAGACCUUGGCCCCCCUCGAGUUGGGGGGCCCCAUGGAGGACCCAGUCACGGGAAGCAUCUCGCCAAUCCUGGGAGUCGGGUUGGAUGAAAACACAGGUCAGGUGUUUGCCCUGGGGGGGCUGCGAGACGCCUCGGGGAGCCUUAUGCUGCCUGGUGACUGCUUCGAGGAGCCUCUGAGCGGGAAGACGGUCCGGCUGCAGGGAGCUUCUCGGCGGGAGGGCCAGACAGUGCCCCACAUGGGAGGAUCACAGGCCCUGCUGGACGCCAACGUGUUGAUGGCCCAGAGACGAGUGGUUGCCAUGCUCCAGAGCUACCGGGAGAGGCCGGGGUCGAGGACACAGAGGCUUCUGGAGACUACCAUCAAGGACACGAGACAGGCACUGGGCUUGAGUCUGCACCAUGCCCUGCAGCAGGCUCGGAGACUGGAGCGGCAGCUGGGGACAGCAGAGGCCAUCAUGGCCAGUGGUGGGAGGAUAGGGAUGAUGUGCUAUCCUGGGACGGAGCUGUGGGUCCCGGUCCUAUACGGGAUGGAGAUCCCAGACCCUGAGGGCUCAGGGCUCAUGGUGCCCAUCCUGGGCAUGGAGACUGAUGGGAAUUCAGGUGAUGCCACACCCCUGGCAGGUUCAAUGGAAGAUGCUGAUGGCAAAGGUAGGAGGGAACUGGGGACCUGUGAAAGUCCCAGGGGGAUUAGGGUUGUGACUUAGCCCUGGGUGAGAAAGCCCUGGAAAGUACUUUCCAGGAAGGGUACCCCCAGUCCAUUUACUCUUGAGUCAUAGGAUGGGGUCCUUCUGACACCUCUGCUAGGGCUGCUGAGAUUCCAGAAUCAGAGGACCACAGGUCAUUUAUCCCCCAUUGAGAAAAGUGGGUCUUUUCAAAAACCAGCACUUCAGAACUUCACCUUCAGGGUCAAUGGCCUCCGAGAAUCCCUCCAAUCCAG